AUGGUUCACCAUCGGAGCGGACUAGUUCUUUGAGCAUCUCCCAUGGGAUGCAUUGCCUGAGUUUGUUUAAAUGAUGGUCAGGCAGCUUAAUCCCGCCUUCAUAGAGCUUGAGUACGUCUUCAAAGCUAUCAAACUCGUUGAAGGUUUUGUCAAAUAAAGCAACAAUCUCAGGAAUGAGGACCUGACCCAGAGAUUUAACAGCAUAUGCAAGGAAAUCUGAAAGCUUCACAUGAGUGAAACGUUCAUCCCGUGGAACAUAUAUGUUCAAACCUAAAGGUGGCAACCGGCUCUCUGAGUUAGGAUCUGCCAAGACAAAAGGAACAUCAGCUGCUUAUUAUCCAUAGUACUUAAUUAGUUUUUAAUUCACUUUAUUCUAUUAAGUUUCUACAACAAUGUAAAUCAUAUCAUUUUAAUGUUACGUCUUUGAUUUAUUUGUGAUCUACCUGUUUUAGUUGGUCGACGGCUUGUCCUGCCUCUACGAGGAUAUGGGUAUUCCUUCGACCCACCAAGCACAGGACGAGCAGAUUCUGGCCCCUUAUCUGGAAAUCCUAGAUCAUUGUAGAAUGCAUAAUCAUACACUCUGUCCCACUCCUUGAGCAUGCCUGAACCGCUUCCACGAAGAUUAAGAAGCUCCUCUUCCCUGUAUGGUCGGAGGGGUUCCGGUGUGUUGCUUGGCAGGUAUGUCUGGAAAACCAGCAAUUUUGAUUUCAGCAUAUCGUAUCAUAUUUUGAACUUAUCAACUCUAUACAACUGUUUAGUUAUCAUAACUAGAAAAAGUACGAGUAUCAGGAAGUCAAUAUGUAGCUAUCCUAUCAAGGUUGCCAUGGUUGUUCACUUAUCCUAAUCUAGUUUGAGAAAGAAUUUUCAUAGCUUUUGUCUAUUUAGAACAAGAAUGAACUUUUUAGGCUCUCAAAGAGGAUCCAAAGAGAAUGCCCUAAAAAGUUUUACAUGCAUAAAAAUUCACGAAGCUUCAUCAGUAUGUGUCUGGUUAUUGCUCUAGUUUGCCUCGCCAGCUUACUUUUCUUACUUAACUCACACUAGUAUUGUUAAUCUAAUGUUAGAGAUACCUUGUUUGAAAAAAAUACUCGGUUGUAUUUGUAGCGAUGUGCUGGAUACACCCAUGAAUUACACACAAAAUGAAGUUGACCAUGUCCAGGAACAUCUUCUAAAAUGACUGUCCUGAGGUAAAACUGGCUGUGGUGAUAGUUUUUGAUUAUGAAAGCUCCAGGAACUCCCAUGGACUCAUCCC
rnacentral:lncRNA from 1 species